CGGGCAUGGAACAACUGCUUCAAUAUCUCAUAUCGAGUAGUUCGAUUUUGUUCCCUAUAUAACUCCUUAAGAUUAAGGAGAAUAUAGGGAAUGUCCAUGUCCUCAUGCUGCUUUUGGGGCUCGUUACUCAUAGAGGCAAGCAUGAUGUAUUUGAUAGUCACACUGUCAUCUUUUCACAUUUUAUAUGCGGCUCUAUCUUCUGUGAAAGCAUCUUCCCCAAGAGAUCUGAAGCAGGU
rnacentral:lncRNA from 1 species